GAUGAACGCUGGCGGCGUGCUUAAUACAUGCAAGUCGAGCGAACAGACGAGGAGCUUGCUCGGCGGACGUGAGCGGCGCACGGGGGAGUAACACGUGGAUAACCUACCUAUAAGACGGGGAUAACCUCGGGAAACCGGAGAUAAUACGGGAGAAUAUAUUGAAACAAAUGGUGCAUUAGAGAAAGACGGUUGUGGGGGCACUUCUAGAUGGAUCCGCGCAUCAUGAGGGAGUUGGUAGGGUAACGGGUUACCAAGGGAACGAUGCGUAGCCGACCUGAGAGCGUGAUCGCCCACACUGGAUCUGUGACACCCUCCCUGGUCCUGCGCGACGCCCCAGUCGCCUAUCUUCCGCAAUGGUCGAAAGCCUUCCGGAGCGUCGCCACGUGAGUGAUUAAGGUCCUCCGAUCGUAAAACUCUGUUACUGGUGGAGAACCGAUGUGUACGUUCCCAUGCUCGUCUUGACGGUACCUGGUCAGGAAGCCCCGGCUAACUACGUG
rnacentral:rRNA from 1 species